rnacentral:rRNA from 1 species
GGAGGGUGCAAACGUUGUCCGGAAUCACUGGGCGUAAAGGGCGCGUAGGCGGACUUGUAAGUCAGGAGUGAAAACUCGGGGCUCAACCCUGAGCCUGCUUCUGAAACUGCAAGUCUUGAGGACCGGAGAGGAAAGUGGAAUUCCUAGUGUAGCGGUGGAAUGCGUAGAUAUUAGGAAGAACACCAGUGGCGAAGGCGACUUUCUGGACGGUACCUGACGCUGAGGCGCGAAAGCUAGGGGAGCAAACAGGGAUUAGAUACCCUGGUAGUCCUAGCCGUAAACGAUGAGUGCUAGGUGGUGGCAGUUUCAACGCUUUCACUGCCGAAGCUAACGCAUUAAGCACUCCGCCUGGGAGUACGGCCGCAAGGUUG